UUAUCCAGAGAGAAAAGCCAAUUGGCUCAUCAUUGGUGAUGAACUGUGUGUGACAUGCUAUCUCUUUAUUUUCAGAUCAGAAGGGAAAACCAUUUGACCCUUCCAAGACCCAAACACUGGUUUGCCAGCUUUCCCCACUUGCUAACAAAGGAACUCGCAAGUGAACUCAUUUGCCAUUGGAUUACUCAUUUGUUUCCUACAACCUGUCCAAACAUCUGCUGUAUCCAUAUUUACUUGUCUGUCUUUCUGCAAGGUCAAAGCACUAAGGAUUAGUCCCUGGAGAAAGCUUUACAGAAGGGUUAUAUUAUGCAAAUAUAGUGACAGAUCCUGGUACACCUAAAGCCAAUUCAAAGACAAAGCAGAAAAAUAAGACCUGGCAUUUUCUGAGGGCUGCCUUGAGUCAAACAAGAGGUGGCUUGAGUCUUAAAAGGCUGAGAACCAGUGCUAGAGUGACUCCUACAGCUAGCCAUCUUUGCACACCUUCUGGCCACCUUCUCAAUGCAGAAUGAAGUGAAACUGGCAUCUGGCAGCGAAUUGAGGGAGCACAAAUAAAUGAAUUUGGGCCUGCUACAUUGCUCUUGGAGUCUGCAUCAACAUGAAGUAUGAGCCACCCGCUCUCCCUGGAAGCUGUGUUCAGAUCAUGCUGAUUACCAUCUGUUCAAUCUUACCCCUGGAUUUCUGCAACAUUUUCAGCAUAACAAAAGCACAAAUGCUUUUGUCUCUUGCUGGCAAGUACAAAAUAGUAGCACUAUGUGGAAAUGGAGAAGAAAAAUUCUGGUUUGUUGCUUUAGGAUUGUAUGUGGAUUUCAAAGUUUCAGUUUGGUAUCAAGCAUUUCCAUAUAAAUGUAUGAGUGAGUGAUUUACCAAACCAAUGCUCUUGGUAAAUUAGAGAUGGGAGACCCCUUUUCAGUUCUAUGUCCCAACAAUACAUAAAGUCAAGCACUUACAGAUUAGAAAAUAUCAGCUCUGGUUUACUGUGUAACCUUAAUUGCCCCUUCCCCAUGUAUAAUCAUUACAAUAUAGCUUUUUAAGUAAUGAUCCCAUGCCAUUGAGCAGCUAUUCAAUUUUUUGUUCAAUGUGUGGCCCCAGGCCUUAUAUACAUGCUAUUUAAACCCUGCUCUGAAGACAGAAUUCUUAAUUUCCUGGUGGGUUAUGCAAGGGGGGCUCACCAGGAUGCUCCUGUUGUCAACACAGAAGGUGAUCAGAUGAUCAAACAGAAACCAAUUGGAUGACCUGCAGGACUAAAACAGUAGAAAUUGGAUGAAAUUUAAUACCACAGAAUAAUGGCAAGUCGGAAGUGCUUCAUAGUUUUUUCACAACACUCUCUGUUGAGAUGAGGUCAAAAGUGGCAGCAGCUGGGUGCCCCCAGCAUGGGUUCACUGCCUAGAUUCUGGGUUGGGGCACAUGGUGUGGGAGAGGGUUGGCAACACACUUGGGCAUG